AUUUAGGAUAUCCUAGAACUAGAAAGUGUCACAGUUGUUCAUUGUUUAGAAAUGGUAAGUUAAAUAAAUACAUAGUUUGUAAGCUAGUAAAAAGGUGUAUUUUCAGAAAAAUGGCAUUGUCUUUCAAAAUAACUUUCUUAAACUAUCCAUGAUUUGUACCAAACUUGGAAAGAAGCUUGUAUAUGACCAAAAGCUAGUAUUUAGAACGAAAUUUAGUCAAAAUUUUGUUCCUGUUUUUCCAUAUUUUACUAAGAAUUGAACCUAGUUUUUCUUCCAGUUAGCAUUACAUACAGUCUGCAGUUCAAGUUUUUAAAACAUUAAUAGAAUGAUUCAUAAACUAUCCUGUAUUUUUACUUGACUUGGACAGAAGCUUCUAACAAUCAAAAGAUACUAUCGAGAGAACUAUUUUUAUACAACCGCAAAAAAUUUUGCGGUCGUAUAUUGGUAUCACGUCGUCGUCCGAAGACUGAUGGUUUCCGGAUAAUAACUUUAGAAUAAGCAAAUAGAUAACAAAAUUUUUUUAAACAAUGUUUAUAACAACAAAAAAAAGGUUGUGAUUGAUUUUGGGGGUUAUGGUCCAUAAGGUUUCGGAAUUAGGGGCCAAAAAGGGCCCAAAAUAUACAUUUAUCUAGUUUCAGGACAAUAAGUUGUGUAUAAGUAUUUCGAUUACUCUGAAAUUGUUCCACUAUGUUCAUACCAUUAAGUAGAAGGUUGGGAUUAAUUUUAAGGGUUAUGGGGCUAACAGUAUAGGAAUUAAAGGCCAAAGAGGGGCCAAAAACAAGCAUUUUUAUACGACCGCCAAAAUUUAAAAAUAUUUGGUCGUAUAAUGGUAUCACGUGGUCGCCGUGCCGUCUGUGUCAGUAUCGUCAGCGUCGUCCGAAGACAGAUUGUUGCCGGAUAAUAACUUUUGAAUAGGUAAAAAGAAAUCAAUAAAAUUUUAACACAAUGCUUAUAACCACAAAAAAAAGCUUGGGAUUGAUUUUGGGGGUUAUGAUCCCAAAGGUUUAGGAAUUAGGGGCCCAAAGGGGCCAAAAACAGCAUUUAUCAAGUUUCAGGACAAAAAGUUGUGUAUAAGUUUUUCAAUUGUUCUGAAAUUGUACCACAAUGUUUAAUACCACAAGUAGAAGGUUUGGAGACAUUUUAAGGAAUUAUUGGGCAAACUGUCUAGGAAUAAGGGGCCAAAAAAUAAGCAUUUUUCUAGUUUACAGACAAUAACUUGUGUUUAUGUGUAUGGAUCUCUAUAAAUUUUUACAAGAAGGUCCAAUUCCACUAAAGGAAGGUUGGAAUUGAUUUUUGGGGUUAUGGUCCCAAUUGUUUAGGAAUGAGGGGCCAAAAGGGUCCCAAAAUAAUAAUUUCUAUACAACCGCAAAAAAUUUUAAUUUUUGGUCGUAUAUUGGUAUCAUGAUGGCGUCGUCGUCCGAAGACAUUUGGUUUUCGCACUCUUACUCUUACUGUAAAAGUACAUAGAAAUCUAUGAAAUUUUGACACAAGGUUUAUGACCAUAAAAGGAAGGUUGGGAUUGAUUUUUGGUGUUUUGGUCCCAACAGUUUAGGAAUUAGGGGCCAAAAAAGGCCCAAAUAAGCAUUUUUCUUGGUUUUCGCACAAUAGUUUUAGAAUAAGUUAACAGAAAUCUACGAAAUUUUAACACAAAGUUUAUGACCACAAAAUGAAGGUUGGGAUUGAUUUUUGGAGUUUUUGUCCCAACAGUUUAGGAAUUAGGGGCCCAAAUAAGCAUUAUUCUUGGUUUUCGCACCAUAACUUUAGUAUAAGUAAAUAGAAAUCUAUGAAAUUUAAACACAAGGUUUAUGACCAUAAAAGGGAGGUUGGGUUUGAUUUUGGGAGUUUUUGUCCCAACAGUUUAGGAAUAAGGGGCCCAAAGGGUCCAAAAUUGAACUUUGUUUGAUUUCAUCAAAAAUUGAAUAAUUGGGGUUCUUUGAUAUGCCAAAUCUAACUGUGUAUGUAGAUUCUUAAUUUUUGGUCCCGUUUUCAAAUUGGACUACAUUAAAGUCCAAAGGGUCCAAAAUUAAACUAAGUUUGAUUUUAACAAAAAUUGAAUUCUUGGGCUUUUUUGAUAUACUGUAUCUAAACAUGUACUGCAUACCUGUCAACCUCUGAAAAUGAAAAGUCAGGUCAUGACCUGCAUUGAGAAAAAAAAUCUCAGGUCAUAACGUGUACGACAUUUUGCGGGCUCAAUUGAAGAACAAAAAUAUGUUUACAUAUAAUUUAUAUAGUCAAUUGUACUGUACUUAGAUUUUAGAUUAUGGGCCCAGUUUUCAAGUUGGUCCAAAUCAGGAUCCAAAAUUAUUAUAUUAAGUAUUGUGCAAUAGCAAGAAAUUUUCAAUUGCACAAUUCAGCAGUAGCAAGAAAUUUCAAAUUGCCAGUACAAUAGCAGAAAUUUCAAUUGCACAGUAUUCAGCAAUAGCAAGAAAUCUUCAAUUGCACAGUAUUGUGCAAUAGCAAGAAAUUUCCAAUUGGAGUUAUCUUUCUUUGUCCAGAAUAGUAGUUGAAUCAACUUAAAUCAUUGUUUUAUACAAUAUACAAUGUAUAUUCACUUUUACUACCAACUGAUAAAUUAAAACAAUCUUUACCAUUCAGUGAUAACAAGUACUUUAUUUUACAUUUUAAUAUUUUAUGAUGUAUUUAAAUUAGUAGUUAUUGUUGCAAAUUCCAUUAGAAAUUUGAAUUGAGAUCAGUUUUGGAAAAAGGGAAAGGGGGAUGUGAAAAAAAUUACAAAAAACAAAUUUUAAGUUUAUUAGACCACAUUCAUUCUGUGUCAGAAACCUAUGCUGUGUCAACUAUUUAAUCACAAUCCAAAUUUAGAGCUGAAUCCAGCUUGAAUGUUGUGUCCAUACUUGCCCCAACCGUUCAGGGUUCAACCUCUGCGGUCGUAUAAAGCUGCGCCCUGCGGAGCAUCUGGUUUAUGUUAUGUUCCCAAUUUCUUAAUUGGUCUACAUUGAGGUCCAAAGGUUCAAAAAUUAAACCUUGUUCUAUUUCAUCUAAAACUGAAUUAGUGUUGCUUUAUGAUACACUGAAUCUCAUAGAGCAUUUAGAUUUUAGAAAGUUUGCUAUAGCUUGAUAUAGCAAUAAACUUUCUAAAGGCAUCGGCCUCUUACUGGAAGUGACAGACUAUCUUACUUUAGGAUGUGUGUCCCAUUUCAAGAUAAUGAAGUAUGUGUGUUUGAAAACUAAAUCUUGGCUUUUUAGCUCACCUGGCCCUAAGGGCCAAGUGAGCUUUUCUCAUCACUUGGCGUCCGGCGUCCGGCGUCCGUCGUCCGUCGUCGUCGUCGUCCGUCGUUAACUUUUACAAAAAUCUUCUCCUCUGAAACUACUGGGCUAAUUUCAACCAAACUUGGUUACAAUCAUCAUUGGGGUAUCUAGUUUAAAAAUUGUGUGUCCGUGACCCGGCCAACCAACCAAGAUGGCCGCCAUGGCUAAAAAUAGAACAUAGGGGUAAAAUGCAGUUUUUGGCUUAUAACUGAAAAACCAAAGCAUUUAGAGCAAAUCUGACAUGGGGUAAAACUGUUUAUCAGGUCAAGAUCUAUCUGCCCUGAAAUUUUCAGACAAAUCUGACAACCCGUUGUUGGGUUGCUGCCCCUGAAUUGGUAAUUUUAAGGAAAUUUUGCUGUUUUUGGUUAUUAUCUUGUAUAUUAUUAUAAAAAGAGAUAAACUGUAAACAGCCAUUAUGUUCAGCAAAGUAAGAUUUACAAAUAAGUCAACAUGACCGAAAUGGUCAGUUGAUCUCUUUAGGAGUUAUUGCCCUUUAUAGUCUAUUUUUAACCAUUUUUCGUAAAUCUUAGUAAUCUUUUACAAAAAUCUUCUCCUCUGAAACAAUUGGGCCAAAUUAAUCCAAACUUAUCCACAAUCAUCAUUGGGGUAUAUAGUUUAAAAAAUGUGUCCAAUGACCUGGCCAUUCAACCAAGAUGGCCGCCAUGGCUAAAAAUAGAACAUAGGGGUAAAAUGCAGAUUUGGCUUAUAACUCAAAAACCAAAGCGUUUAGAGCAAAUCUGACAUGGGGUUAAACUAUUUAUCAGGUCAAGAUCUAUCUGCCCCGAAAUUUUCAGAUGAAUCGGACAACCCGUUGUUGGGUUGCUGCCCCUGAAUUGGUAAUUUUUAAGGAAAUUUUGCUCUUUAUAUGCCCCACCUACGAUAGUAGAGGGGCAUUAUGUUUUCUGGUCUGUGCGUCCGUCCGUCCGUCCGUCCGUCUGUCCGCUCGUUUGUCCGUCCGUCUGUCCCGCUUCAGGGUAAAGUUUUUGGUCAAGGUAGUUUUUGAUGAAGUUUAAGUCCAAUCGACUUCAAACUUAGUACACAUGUCCCCUAUGAUAUGAUCUUUCUAAUAUUUAAUGCCAAGUUAGAGUUUUUACCCCAAUUUCACGGUCCACUGAACAUAGAAAAUGAUAGUGCGAGUGGGGCAUUCGUGUACUGAGGACACAUUCUUGUUGGUUAUUGUCUUGAAUAUUAUUAUAGAUAGAGAUAAACUGUAAACAGCAAUAAUGUUCAGCAAAGUAAGAUUUACAAAUAAGUCAACAUGAACGAAAUGGUUAAUUGACCCCCUAAGGAGUUAUUGUCCUUUAUAGUCAAUUUUCAACAAUUUUUAUAAAAUUUGUAAAUUUUUCCUUACAUUUUCCACUGAAACUACUGGGCCAAGUUCAUUAUAGAUAAAGAUAAUUGUAAGCAGCAAGGAUGUUCAGUAAAGUAAGAUGUACAAACACAUCACCAUCACCAAAAUACAAUUUUGUCAUGAAUCCAUCUCCUUCCUUUGUUUAAUAGUCACAUAGACCAAGGUGAGCGACACAGGCUCUUUAGAGCCUCUAGUUAAUUUUUAGCUUUUCUAUUUUGAUUAGCUUACAGCUCGACUUAAAAUGUACUAUAUGUUCAUCGAUAAUUCAAAUGAUUUAACUUCAUUUUGAAAUGGCUAUCACAAACACUACUGCGCGGAUCUGUACUGUGCGGAAAGUAAAAUCAAUACACACACGAGACAGCAGUUUCUACGUUAUGCUUUUAUCGGUUUUCUCCAGACCCGAGUCAGAGCCAUAUAUGUGUGCCUCUAAACGGGAGUACUAUAAUCCCGGUUGCAAGGGUUUCUUACCUUUCUCCUGUUGAAGAUCAAAUAAAUACCGUGUUUAAAAUAUUUCAUGAUUGAACAUUUUUCGACGCUUACUACGAUUUUUAAAAAUGUUUAUUAAAGACCCGAGUGUAUCGAAAGUAACUUGAUACCUGAUCUCAUCUCGGCUCACAACAAACUCGGACUAUAAUAAACUCUGCCUUUCACGCAUUCGGCAUCAGAAAAUAUGACUAUAACAAAAUUCGUAAUUAUACUACUUGCUAUUAAGACUCCCAAACAAAAUUUUUGCUCAGUUCAUAUUAUUUUUCUUCUUUAGGUCUAUUUAGGGUUAUUUUGAGGGGCCAACAGAAGGGAGGAAUUUACUACAGAACCCUACGGGAUUUAUUUUUUUAAAUUUUCAAAUGACUAUAAAUUGAAAACAGUAAGUGAUAGGCACACAUGAUUUUCAGUAACGAUCACAGGACAAUCAAAUAAAAUAUAGGUUGGGUCCAUAGGGUCACCCCACCCAACCCAUUCUAUUUGAGAACUUGUAAACAGUAAUGAUCCCCACCCCUAAACCAUAUAUAUUCUUGUAUAGGGCAACAAAUCAAAUUAAAUGAAAUAUAGUGGGAGUCCCUCUGGGUCAGCCCCACCCCUUCCUGUUUGAGAACUUGUAAACGGUCGAGAUCCCCACCCCUAAACCAUAUAUAUUCUUGUAUUGGACAACAAAACAAAUCAAAUGAAAUAUAGUAGGAUUCCCUCUUGGUCAGCCCCACACCCUCCUGUUUGAAAACUUGUAAACGGUCGAGAUCCCCACUCCUAAACCAUUUAUAUAUUUUGUAUGUGACAAUAAAACGAAUAAAAUGAAAUAUAGGUGGAGUCCCUUGGUGUCACCCUAGCCCAUUUUGUUUUGAGAACUUGUAAACAGUCAUGAUCACCACCCGAAACCAUAUAUAUUCUUGUACAGGACACUAAAACAAAUCAAAUGGAAUAAAAGGCGAGUCCCCUUGAGUCACUCCCACCCCCAUUAUGUUUGAAAACUUGUAAACGGUCGAAAUCCCCACCAUUAAAUUAAUUAAACCAUAUUUACUCUUGUAUGGGACAAUAAAACGAAUACAAUGAAAUAUAGGGGGAAUCCCCGGGUGUCACCCUACCCUACCCUGUUUUAAGAACUUGUAAACAGUCAAGAUCCCCACCCCUAAACCAUAUAUAUUCUUGUACGGGACAAUAAAACAAAUCAAAUGAAAUAAAAUGUGAGUCCCCUGGAGUCACUCCCACCCCCUUCCUGUUUGAGAACUGGUAAACGGUUGAGAUCCCCACCCUAAACCAUAUAUAUUUUUGUAUGGGACACUAAAAUAAAUCAAAUGAAAUAUAGAGGAAGCCCCCCUUCUUUUGAAAACUUGUAAACGGUCUAGAUCCCCACACCUAAACCAUAUAUAUUCUUGUAUGUGGCAACAAAACAAAUCAAAUGAAAUAUAGUGGGAUUCCCUCUUGGUCAGCCCUAUCCCCUCCUGUUUGAAAACUUGUAAACGGUCAAGAUCCCCACUCCUAAACCAUGUAUAUUUUUGUAUGGUACAAUAAAACGAAUAAAAUGAAAAGGUGGAGUCCCUUGGUGUCACUCCACCCCAUCCUGUUUUAAGAACUUGUAAACAGUCAAGAUCCCCAGCCCUAAACCAUAAAUAUUCUUGUACGGGACAAUAAAACAAAUCAAAAGAAAUAAUAGGCGAGUCCCCUGGGGUCACUCUCACGACCUUCCUGUUUGAGAACUUGUAAACGGUUGAGAUCCCCAACCAAAACCAUUUACUAGUAUAUUUUUGUAUGGGACAAUAAAAUAAAUCAAAUUAAAUAUAGAAGAAGUCCCCAGGGUUCACACAACCCCCUUCUUUUAAAAACUUGUGAAAGGUCUAGAUCCCCACCCCUAAAUCAUAUAUAUUCUUGUAUGGGGCAACAAAACAAAUCAAAUGAAAUAUAGAAGAAUUCCCUCUUGGUCAGCCCCAACCCCUCAUGUUUGAAAACUUGGAAACGGUCGAGAUCCCCACUCCUUAACAAUAUAUAUUUUUGUAUGGGACAAUAAAACAAAUAAAAUGAAAUAUAGGUGGAGUCCCUUGGUGUCACCCCAACCCAUCAUGUUUUGAGAACUAAUGUCAACAGCCAAGAUCCCCACCCGAAAUCAUAUAUAUUCUUGUACAGGACACCAAAACAAAUCAAAUGAAAUAAAAGGCGAGUCCCCUGGAGUCACUCCCAUCCCCUUCCUGUUUGAAAACUUGUAAACGGUCAAAAUCCCCACCCCUAAACCAUAUAUAUAUCCUUGUAUGGGACAAUAAAACGAAUGAAAUGAAAUAUAGGGGGAGUCCCCGGGUGUCAUCCCAUCCCAUCCUGUUUUAAGAACUUGUAAACAGUCAAGAUUCCCACCCCUAAACCAUAUAUAUUCAUGUACGGGACAAUCAAACAAAUCAAAUGAAAUAAUAGGCGAGUCCCCUGGGGGUCACUCCCACCAUCUUCCUGUUUUAGAACUUGUAAACGGUUGAGAUCCCCACCCUAAACCAUAUAUAUUAUUGUAUGGGGCAACAAAAUAAUCAAAUGAAAUAUAGUGGGAUUCCCUCUUAGUCCAGAUCCCAAACCCUAAAUCAUGAAUAUUCCUGUUCGUGAUUUGAAGAAGAUUUGAAUAACAUACAGGGGUGAUCCCUAGGCGUCACGUAUGCAUAUCACUUUACUAGACCAAACCAAUUUGUACUGGACUUUGUUCAAUGUCAAGCGACCGUGGGAAUGACUAAUUACGGGAGCUUUAUUUUUUGAGACUUUAACAGCAUCCUGUUACAAUAAUAUCUUGUAUUAAGAAAAAAUAAUUUAGGAAGGAAAAAAAAUUAACCACGCACUUUACACAUUUACAACCUAUUUGAAAUAUUACAAUCUACCGUUGCAAACUUUCCACAGGUGCUAUCCAGCACUUUGAUUUAUUUUGGGCCCUGUUUUCAAAUAAGUCCUAAUUGAGGUUUGAAGGGUUCAAAAUAAAACUUUGUCUGGUUUCAACUAAACUAGAUUUUUGGUGUUUUUCUAUAUGCUGAAUCAAACGUUGUUGUUAGAUUUUGGAUAUCUAGGUAAUGAAAUGUCCCCUUUUAAAAUUUUAAGAUCUUAAACCAUCUUAAACCACAUUUAUUUUGUAACAAAAAAUAUGUAAGGUACCAGGCUUAUAAUUUGAUACACCAGACGUUCAUUUCGUCUAAAUAAGACUCAUCAGUGACACUCAAAUCAAAAUAGUUUGAAAGAAUCUAUAUUAAUAUGUCAAAAUCUGUAUCACAAUUAAAAUUCAAAUGUAUCAAGCUUAAAUAUUGUGUCCAAACUUGUCCCAAUUUUUCAGGGUUUACAUUCUGUGGCCGUUUCAGAUUGUGCACGGCGAAGCAUUUGAUUUUAAAAGAGUUAUGACCCUAAGGAAUAUUAAAUUUACGGAAAAUGGUCACAUUAGUGAUUUCACAUUUUUUUAAGGCUAAAUGGGGUGUUAGGUUUCUUUUGUGAUCUUGAAUAAAUCUUGAAUACAUUUUAUAGAAGCCUAUGUAUGUGGUGGACUUGACGGAGAAGAUAUAAUGGAUGAUAUAUGGAAGUUAAAUUUAACUACUUAUGAAUGGACAAAGUUACCAACAAGUUUACACCUUCCAGUCUACUUCCAUUCAGCGGAUAUCACACCAGUAAUUAUUUAGAUUAGUUGUAUCUCUAUGCUGCCUACAAAACAGUUGGAUGCCUGCAUCUCCAUCCAUGCAUGCAAUCAAAACCUUAUGCUGAUGCUUAAUAACUAUAUGUAUCCGAUUACCACUCCUUUUAAGAAACCAAAAAAAUGUUGUUUUUAGGUAAACAUUAUCUAGAAUGUUUUUGCCCAUAUACAUUUCAAGCAAUAUUUUAUUGAAACUUAUACUAAGAUAAUGUAAAUUCAAAGUGAUGAGUACUUGUCAAGAACUCGUAAUUAUUGAAAAAUCAAAUUAUCAUUAGUGAAACUAGCUUUCAGUUCUAAAAAUAGUCAUUAAAGGUGAUAUGAAGAUAUUUAUGAUUAAGAAUAUGCCUGCCAUCCAUUGUUAAAACACUCCAAUUGUUAACUUUUAAUUCCAAAUGCAAAAUGAGGUCAUGACUCACCUAUGAUCAUAUGAUUAAGAAUAUGCCUGCCAUCCAUUGUUAAAAUACUCCAAUUGUUAACUUUUAAUUCCAAAUGCAAAAUGAGGUCGUGACUAACCUAUGAUCAUAAACUUUUAACAUAGUGAGUUCAGAUCAUACCGGCCAAAAUUUACUACAAAUAUCGAAUAUAAAUUGUAAAUUAUUGUUUCUAGUGAUUUCUAGAGUGACACUUGUUUGCAAAAAAAAACAAAAAAAAACAGUUGGCAUUUAAUAUAAUCUAUUUGCGUAUUAGAGAUAAAGGGAAAGGAACAAAGCGUGUUGAUCUGAGGUCAUCAGAUAAAAGGGUUAACGGUCAAAGUUAAUACAAUACAUGAUUUUUUUUAGUCCCCUACUGCCCAAGUCUAGUGGGACUUAAGGUUUGCAUUCUGUCUGUCCCGCAAAUUAGUUUUCCACAUUUUUUUUCGUCAUGUUUGAAGAUAUUGAUUUGGUAUUUUGUGUAUUGUUUUAUCAUGACAAGUUACAGAUCAAGUUCGAAUUUUGUUUUGAUCUUAUGAUUGUGUUAAGGUCAUUUGACUUAGACAAUUCUCUAAAACAGGCAGUCUGUGAGUAAAGCACUGCAAUACAUAGUCCCCAUCAAGUACAAAAUUUCAUUGUACAGGAACAAAAUGCUAACUUGAUCUAUAACGUGUAAUGGUGUAAACUAUAUAGCAAAUAUCAAGGCAAUAUCUUCAAGAUCUUCAAGAUUGACAACGAAAAGUGUUAAAAUCUGAUUCUAGGACCAUCAUUCUGCAUAAAAUCAUCAGACCAGAACAAAAUUCGAACUUGAUCUGUAACUCGUCAAAGCUAAAAAAACAAUUUUUAAAUUAGUAUCUUUAAAUCAUGACAUAUAAAAAAAGGAAAACUGAUUAUUUGAGUGAAUUUUCAGUCCAAGGACCAUAAUUCUGCAUAAAAGCAUAAGACUUGAACAAAAUUCAAUUUGAACUUUAACUUGUCACGAUAAAACCAUAUUCCAAUUAUCAAAUCAAUAUCUUCAAGAAUGACUAAAAAGUGCAGAAAACUGAUUAUUAUAGUUAAUUGAUUUAGGACCAUUACUCUGCUCAAAAUCAUCAGAAAGGUACAAUUUUCAAAUUGAUCUUUAACUUGUCAUGGUACAAUUUAUAUAACAAUACACCAAAUACUGAAUCAAUAUAUUCAAGCAUGACAAAAAAGUUGAAAACUGAUUUGCCUGACUGACAGAUGCUCAGACAGAUGGAUGGAGUGCAAGCCUAAAGUCCAUUUCGACUUCGUCUGUAGGAGACUAAAAAUUAGUUGGGAUAUGGCAACAUGAAAAUGGAACAUGUUCGCACAUUGUACGCUUUAGCUUAUAUUUGGGUUAAAUUAUUCUGUUUUCCCACAGAAAUAAGAUUUGGUCUUCUUUGAAUGUACACUACAAACCAGUAUCAGUCUGAAAUGGCCUAUAUCCAUACUCGACUGUACUGAUUUGUACUUGACCCUUAUCUUUGACGUUGAAAAUAGUCGUAUUACUCGACCAGUAUGAAACAGCCUUAACCUCUUCUCGACCUGUAUUCGACCAAUUUUGUCAGUCUUAACCAUAUUCAACCAAAGGUCUGAACAAUACUCAACCUGUCUGAACCAUACUUGACCAAAUAACCUCUCUUUUUAUUUUUUAUGCCCCACCUACGAUAGUAGAGGGGCAUUAUGUUUUCUGGUCUGUGCUUCCGUUCGUCCGUGCGUCCAUUCGUCCGUCUGUGCGUCGUACCGUUUGCUUCAGGUUAAAGUUUUUGGUCAAGGUAGUUUUUGAAGAAGUUGAAGUCUAAUCAACUUGAAACUUAGUACACAUGUUCCCUAUGAUAUGAUCUUUCUAAUUUUAAUUCCAAAUUAAAGUUUUGACUCUAAUUUCACGGUCCACUGAACAUAGAAAAUGAUAGUGCGAGUGGGGCAUCCGUGUACUUGGGACACAUUCUUGUUUAUUUUAACUGUUUUAGAUAAAUUUCUAUUUAACUGACAUGCCAGCAAUAAUACAUCCUGCUUGGGGCAAACUCAUCAAACAGUUCAAACCUGGUCUGAGAGUAAUAGAUUUUAAAUAACAUUCAUUCAAAAUUGCAAAAUCCUGUAUAACUUAAAUCGCCAGGCCUUUUGAAUUCGAUUGAUAACUAAUACACGAGUUUAGGUUUUUUUUUUACCUGUAAAACACGUUAGUACUGAUAUAAUUGAAACUUAUUAAGUGUUUCUUGUAUGCCAAUGUCUUUAAUUUCGAGAUAAAAUAUUUGAAUUUAUAUGUAAAAAAAUCAUAUAAAUUACUGCAACGUUUGAACAGAUUUCAUUUUUGUAGAGACUGUGACUUUUGUCGCAGAAGCUCGACAUAGGGAUAGUGAUCCGGCGGCGUUAGCUAGCUUCUCAAAAACUUUAUAUUUUAGAAGUUAGAAGACCUUGAUGCUUCAUACUUUGUAUAUGGACGCCUAUAUGUUAGGAAGUUUCCGUUAGUCUCAUAUCCAAUGUCCUAGACCUCAUUUUCAUGGUUCAGUGACUAUUUGAAAAUAAUUUUUUUUUAGAUUUUUGGUAAUGUUAAAUUCUAUCUUAUAAGGAAUAGGAUAAAUAUUUGUUAUGAGCGUACCUUGUAAGUCCUCAUGUCCUUCAGACAGUUUUCACUUGACCUCGAACUCAUUUCAUGGAUUAGUUAGCAAGGUUAAGUUUUUGUUGUCAAGGUUCCAUAUAACGAAGGGAAGGCUUGGAUUCAGUUUGGGGUAUAUAUCUCUGAACAUUAAGAAAUAAGGGGCCAAAAAGAAGCAUUUUUAGCUCACCUGGCCUAAAAGGCCAAGUGAGCUUUUCUCAUCACUUGGCGUCCGGCGUCGUCCGUCGUCGUCGUUAACUUUUACAAAAAUCUUCUCCUGAAACUACUGGGCCAAAUUAAACCAAACUUGGCCACAAUCAUCUUUGGGUAUCUAGUUAAAAAAAUGUGUCCGGUGCCCUGGCCAACCAUCCAAGAUGGCAGCCAUGGCUAAAAAUAGAACAUAGGGGUAAAAUGCAGUUUUUGGCUUAUAACUCAAAAACCAAGGGGUGCAUUGAAACCAGGUCAUGUGCACACCCAUGAAGACAUGAUCCAUGCACAUUUUACAUAAUCAAAACUGUAUGAAAUUUGUAGGUUUUUACCUGGCCUUUCAAAAAAAUCUUGUUUCAGGGUACGGUUUCCUGCUCCGAAAAGAGCUACAGUGGCUGCAAAUAAGUUUUCAAUUUUCACUGCCAAAAAAAACAGGAUGUUUACAGUGUUGUCUCCCCUCAAAACAUGUAAAGUUAAUAUAAUUUUUAAAAUUAUUUCAAUCAUUCAAUCUAUUUCCCUCCAUGGUUAUUUUUAGGCGGGGAAUAACCCCUAGUUUUUUAUACGAAACUGUUUAUAGCACCCUUAAGGCAAAACUUUAUAUGCGAUAUAUUAAAAUUUCUUAGCUUUUCUGAAUCUGUACACUAUACCGAUUAAAAUGAUGUCUGACUUUAAGGAUUGUGACCACGAAUAGUGAAAAUACAGCUCUUUUUUCAUGUCGCGUAGUACUGGCAUAUUGGCCAGUGGCAAACAGUUUAACCAGCAAACUCCAAACAUUUCCUGUAUCUCAUUUUCAUCAGUUUUACAAAGAAAAUAAAUCAUAAAAUAGGGUUUCUUUUGAAUAAAUAGAAUAAAAACUAUGAAAUAAGCAUGAAUAAAGUUACUUUAAAUAUAUUUUGUCCCUAGUGUUAUGUGAACUAAGUUAUAGCUGAGUUGAGAAAAAUAUGGAAAUAGUGUUUUUCUUAGGAAUGGCACUUGUACCUUUAUGACUUUAAAAAGUACCAAAUAUAUAUUAUAAUGAAUUAAAAUUUAUGUCACACUGAUCAGAAGUACAGGUCAAAGUAGAAAAAAUCUACACUUUUCAUGUGCAACUUUUGGUUCCAAAUAUAUGAGAGAUUGAAUAAAAUAUCAUGACGUCGCAAAAAAGUUGAAAAAAACUUCAAUAUUCGCGCAGAGUCUGGUUUUCUUAUUUCUGGUUGCUAUGUACAAAUCUGUAAUAUUUGCAUUAAAUAUACCAAACUGAUGCUUUUAAAUUAUGUCCCAUAUUUUGUCCCUAGUGUUAUGUGAACUAAGUUAUAGCUGAGUUGAGAAAAAUAUGGAAAUAGUGUUUUUCUUAGGAAUGGCACUUGUACCUUUUAUGACUUUAAAAAGUACCAAAUAUAUAUUAUAAUGAAUUAAAAUUUAUGUCACACUGAUCAGAAAUACAGGUCAAAGUAGAAAUAAUCUACACUUUACAUGUGCAACUUUUGGUUCCAAAUAUAUGAGAGAUUGAAUAAAAUAUCAUGACGUCACAAAAAGUUGAAAAAAACUUCAAUAUUCGCGCGAGUCUGGUUUUCUUAUUUCUGGUUGCUAUGUACAAAUCUGUAAUAUUUGCAUUAAAUAUACCAAACAGAUGCUUUUAAAUUAUGUCCCUAUAUUUUGUCCCUAGUGUUAUGUGAACUAAGUUAUAGCUGAGUUGAGAAAAAUAUGGAAAUAGUGUUUUUCUUAGGAAUGGCACUUGUACCUUUAUGACUUUAAAAAGUACCAAAUAUAUAUUAUAAUGAAUUAAAAUUUAUGUCACACUGAUCAGAAAUACAGGUCAAAGUAGAAAUAAUCUACACUUUGCAUGUGCAACUUUUGGUUCCAAAUAUAUGAGAGAUUGAAUAAAAUAUCAUGACGUCACAAAAAGUUGAAAAAAAACUUCAAUAUUCGCGCGAGUCUGGUUUUCUUAUUUCUGGUUGCUAUGUACAAAUCUGUAAUAUUUGCAUUAAAUAUACCAAACAGAUGCUUUUAAAUUAAAGUAUACGUGCCGUACAAUAUUUUUCAGAAUUGUUUUACUCCAUUCGCAUACACAUUUCUAUGCGAAAACAUCACUAUAAUAUAUAUUUGUGCAAUCAACAGUUUUUAUACGACCGCAAAAUUUGAAAAAUUUUUCGUCGUAUAUUGCUAUCACGUUGGCGUCGUCGUCGUCGUCCGAAUACUUUUAGUUUUCGCACUCUAACUUUAGUAAAAGUGAAUAGAAAUCUAUGAAAUUUUAACACAAGGUUUAUGACCACAAAAGGAAGGUUGGGAUUGAUUUUGGGAGUUUUAGUCCCAACAUUUUAGGAAUAAGGGGCCAAAAAGGGCCCAAAUAAGCAUUUUCUUGGUUUUCGCACUAUAACUUUAGUUUAAGUAAAUAGAAAUCUAUGAAAUUUUGACAUAAGGUUUAUGACCACAAAAGAAAGGUUGGGAUUGAUUUUGGGAGUUUUGGUUUCAACAGUUUAGGAAUUAGGGGCCAAAAAAGGGCCCAAAUAAGCAUUAUUCUUGGUUUUCGCACAAUAACUUUAGUUUAAGUAAAUAGAAAUCAAUGAAAUUUAAACACAAUGUUUAUGACCACAAAAGGAAGGUUGGUAUUGAUUUUGGGAGUUUAGGUCCCAACAGUUUAGGAAUUAAGGGCCAAAAAGGGACCCAAAUAAGCAUUUUUUUGGGUUUUCGCACCAUAACUUUAGUAUAAGUAAAUAGAAAUCUAUGAAAUUUAAACACAAGGUUUAUGACCAUAAAAGGAAGGUUGGUAUUGAUUUUGGGAGUUUUGGUCCCAACAGUUUAGGAAUAAAGGGCCCAAAGGGUCCAGAUUUAAACUUUGUUUGAUUUUAUCAAAAAUUGAAUAAUUGGGUUCUUUGAUAUGCCGAAUCUAACUGUGUAUGUAGAUUCUUAAUUUUUGGUCCCGUUUUCAAAUUGGUCUACAUUAAGGUCCAAAGGGUCCAAAAUUAAACUUAGUUUGAUUUUAACAAAAAUUGAAUCCUUGGGGUUCUUUGAUAUGCUGAAUCUAAAAAUGUACUUAGAUUUUUAUUAUUGGCCCAGUUUUCAAGUUGGUCCAAAUCGGGGUCCAAAAUUAAACUUUGUUUGAUUUCAUCAAAAAUUGAAUAAUUGGGGUUCUUUGAUAUGCCAAAUCUAACUGUGUAUGUAGAUUCUUAAUUUUUGGUCCCGUUUUCAAAUUGGUUUACAUUAACGUCCAAAGGGUCCAAAAUUAAACUAAGUUUGAUUUUAACAAAAAUUAAAUUCUUGGGCUUAUUUGAUAUGCUUUAUCUAAAUAUGUACUUUGAUUUUUGAUUAUGGGCCCAGUUUUCAAGUUGGUCCAAAUCAGGAUUCCAUAUCAAGUAUUGUGCAAUAGCAAGAAAUUUUCAAUUGCACAGUAUUGCACAAUAGCAAGAAAUAUCUAAUUGCACAAUAUUGUGCAAUAGCAAUUAAUUUUCAAUUGGAGUUAUCUUUCUUUGUAUAGAAUAGUAGUUGAUAAUAUAUGUUGGAAAUUUUCCAGACAUGACUAUGAUGUCAUUUUCUAUUUUUAUUUCUAUUUUUAUUUGCCAAUAACUUUAUGUAAAUAACUUCAUUGGAAAUUUGCCAAUAUAAAAUGUUGCUGAUGAAGCUUUUUUUCCUUAUCUUAUCUAAAAUGUUUUUAGAUAAUGUAUGUUGGACAUUUGCCAGACAUGACUAUGAUGUCAUUUUCUAUUUUUAUUUGCCAAUAACUUUAUGUAAAUAACUUCAUUGGAAAUUUGCCAAUAUAAAAUGUUGCUGAUGAAGUUUUUUUUAUUGUUUUAUACAAUAAACAAUGUAUAUUCACUUUUACUACCAACCAAUCUUUACCAUUCAGUGAUAACAAGCACUUUAUUUUACAUUUUAAUAUCUUAUGAUGUAUUUAAAAGAGUAGUUAUUGUUGCAAACUCCAUUAGAAAUUUGAAUUGAUAUCAGUUUUGGAAAAAGGGAAACGGGGAUGUGAAAAAAAAGGGGGGGGGUUUAAAUUUUUCUCAUUUCAGAUUUCAUAAAUAAAAAGAAAGAAAAUUUCUUCAAACAUUUUUUUGAGAGGAUUAAUAUUCAACAGCAUAGUGAAUUGCUCAAAGGCAAAAAAAAACUUUUAAGUUCAUUAGACCACAUUCAUUCUGUGUCAGAAACCUAUGCUGUGUCAACUAUUUAAUUUUAGAUUUAAAAAGUUUGAAGAAAUCUUUAAUUGAUUUGUAAAAUCUUGACAUUUGUUUUGUGUAAAAAAAAACCCAUAUAAUGUCAAAAAUUUGAUCACAAUCCAAAUUCAGAGCUGUAUCACGCUUGAAUGUUUUGUCCAUACUUGCCCCAACUGUUCAGGGUUCGACCUCUGCGGUCGUAUAAAGCUGCGCCCUGCGGAGCACCUGGUUUUCUAUGACGUCACAUUUUGAGGGACCAUGCAUAAGUGACCCUUAGUGGUGGACUGAUUAAUAAAGAUACUUGUAUAAAACUAGAUAUCACUGGAAUCAGAAUGUUCUCUAGUUUAUAAUGAAAUAAAAAUAAUGUGUACUUUUAAUAUAUAAAAAAUAUUCCAUCCAAUGAACAUGGGGGAUAAAAGGUCUAAUUUGAACAUAAAAAACUUGAAACCAGGUGAAGACAUGAUCCAUGCACAUUUUACAUAAUCAAAACUGUAUGAAAUUUGUAGGUUUUUACCUGGCCUUUCAAAAAAAUCUUGUUUCAGGGUACGGUUUCCUGCUCCGAAAAGAACUACAGUGGCUGCAAAUAAGUUUUCAAUUUUCACUGCCAAAAAAACAGGAUGUUUACAGUGUUGUCUCCCCUCAAAACAUGUAAAGUUAAUAUAAUUUUUAAAAUUAUUUCAAUCAUUCAACCUGUUUUAAUUCAAAGCUAAUUAACUAAUUUUUACAAUCAAAGACAAAAAACAUGAUACUUUUUCACCAAUUUAGUAAAUAAACAGGGGUUUCCCUCCAUGGUUAUUUUUAGUCGGGGGAAUAACCCCUAGUUUUUAGCUCACCUGACCUGAAAGGUCAAGUGAGCUUUUCUCAUCACUUGGCGUCCGUCGUCCGUCGUCCGUCGUCUGUCGUCCGUCGUCCGUCGUCCGUCGUCCGUAAACUUUUACAAAAAUCUUCUCCUCUGAAACUACUGGGCCAAAUUCUACCAAACUUGGCCACAAUCAUCCUUGGGGUAUCUAGUUUAAAAAAAUGUGUGGCGUGACCCGUCAAACCAACCAAGAUGGCCGCCAUGGCUAAAAAUAGAACAUAGGGGUAAAAUGCAGUUUUUGGCUAAUAACUCAAAAACCAAAGCAUUUAGAGCAAAUCUGACAGGGUAAAAUGGUUGAUCAGGUCAAGAUCUAUCUGCCUUGAAAUUUUCAGACGAAUAGGACAACCUGUUGUUGGGUUGCUGCCUGUGAAAUGGUUAAUUUAAGGAAAUUUUGCAGUUUUUGGUUAUUAUCUUGAAUACUAUUAUAGAUAGAGAUAAACUGUAAACAGCAAUAAUGUUCAGCAAAGUAAGACCUACAAAUAAGUCAACAAGACCAAAAUUGUCAGUUGACCCCUUAAGGAGUUAUUGCCCUUUAUAGUCAAUUUUUAACAACUUUUCGUCAUUUUUUGUAACUUUUCUAAAAAUCUUCUUCUCCAAAACUACUUUGCCAAAUUUAACCAAACUUGGCCACAAUUAUCAUUGUGGUUUAUAGUUUAAAAAAUGUGUCCGAUGACCCAGCCUGCCAAACAAAAUGGCCGACAUGGCUAAAAUUAGAACAUAGUGGUAAAAUGCAGUUUUUGCUUUAUAUCUUUGAAACUAAGACAUUUAGGGCAAAUCUUUCAAGAUUUAAAUGUCCAUCAGAAUAAGAUAUAUCCCCUCACAAAUUUUGAGUUGAAUCGGACAACCUGUUGUUGGGUUGCUGCCCUAAAAUUGGUGAUUUUAAGGAAAUUUUGCAGUUUUUGGUUAUUAUCUUGAAUACUAUUAUAGAUAGAGAUAAACUGUAAACAGCAAUAAUGUUCAGCAAAGUAAGAUCUACAAAUAAGUCAGCAUGAUCAAAAUUGUUAGAGGACCCCUUAAGGAGUUAUUGCCCUUUAUAGUCAAUAUUGAACAACUUUUCGUCAUUUUUGUAACUUGUAUAAAAAUCUUUUCUUAAACGACUUGGCCAAAUUUAACCCAACUUGGCCACAAUCAUAAUACUAGGGUAUCUAUUUUUAAAAAAAGUGUCUAAUGACCCCGCCUACCGACGAAGAUGGCCGACAUCAGUAAACACAUUAACAGGUGAGCGAAACAGGCUCUUGAGAGCCUCUAGUUUUUUUAUACGAAACUGUUUAUAGCACCCAGAGCAUUUAGAGCAAAUCUGACAUGGGUUAGAAUUGUUUAACAGGUGAAGAUCUAUCUGCCCUGAAAUUUUCAGAUGAAUCGGAUAACCCAUUGUUGGGUUGCUGCCCCUGAAUUAGUAAUUUUAAGGAAAUUUUGCUGUUUUUGGUUAUUAUCUUGAAUAUUAUUAUAGAUAGAGAUAAACAGUAAGCAGCAAUAAUGUUCAGCAAAGUAAGAUUUACAAAUAAGUCAACAUGACUGAAAUGGUCAGUUGACCCCUUUCGGAGUAAUUGCCCUUUAUAGUCAAUUUUUAACCAUUUUCUUAAUUCUUAGUAAUAUUUUACAAAAAUCUUCUCCUCUGAAACUGUUGGACCAAAUUUAACGAAACUUAGCCAAAAUCAUAAUUAGGGUAUCUAGUUUAAAAAUUGUGUGCAGUGACCCGGCCAACCAACCAAGAUGGCCGCCAUGGCUAAAAAUAGAACAUAGGGGUAAAAUGUAGAUUUUGUCUUAUAACUCUGAAACCAAAGCAUUAGAGCAAAUCUGUCUGGAGUACUGUCUGGAUCAAAUUGUUUAUUAGGUCAAAUCUAUCUCCCCUGAAAUUUUCAGAUGAAUCAGACAAUGGGUUGUUGGGUUGCUGCCCCUGAAUUGGUAAUUUUAAGGAAAUUUUGUCCGUUUUCGGUUAUUAUCUUGAAAAUUAUUAUGGAUAGAGAUAAACUUUAAACAGCAAUUAUGUUCAUCAAAGUAAGAUCUACAAAUAAGUCAACAUGAUCAAAAUGAUCAGUUGACCCCUUAAGGAGUUAUUGCCCUUAAUAGUAAUUUUUUACCAAUUUUUCAUAAAUUUUUGUUAUCUUUUACAAAAAUCUUCUCCUCUGAAACUACUGGACCAAAUUUAACGAAACUUAGCCAAAAUUAUAAUUAGGGUAUCUAGUUUAAAAACUGUGUGGGGUGACACAGCCAACCAACAAAGAUGGCCGCCAUGGCUAAAUAGAACAUAUGGGUAAAAUGUAGAUUUUGGCUUUUAACUCUGAAACCAAAGCAUUUAAAGCAAAUCUUACAAGGGAUUAACUUGUUUAUCUAGUAAAUAUCUAUCUGCCCUGAAAUUUUCAGAUGAAUUGGACAACUGGUUGUUGGGUUGCUACCCCCAAUUGGUAAUUUUUAAAGAAAUUUAGCCGUUUUUGGUUAUUAUCUUGAAUACUAUUAUAGAUAGAGAUAAAUUGUAAACAGCAAUAAUGUUCAGCAAAUUAAGAUCUACAAAUAAGUCAACAUUCCCAAAAUGGUCAGUUGACCCCUUAAGGAGUUAGGAGUUAUUGCCCUUUAUAGUCAUUUUCAGAGAAUGUUUUGAUUAAAUCAGAGUGAUCCUUUACAAAGUAGGAUUUAUCCCUCCCUAAGACAAGAUACUUGUAUCUACGUUUGUCAUUCUUUUUUUUUUAUGAAAAAAAGCAAUACCAAAUCUUUCAAUUUGUCUUUUAGUUUGGAAUGUGGAAUACUUGUGUAGAAAAGUCAAAUGUUUUAAUACUAUUGAUGAAAGAGAGUUAUAUGUACUCUAAAAUUCUUUGGAUUUUUUUAGUAUCUACAUCUGAUUCACGCCACCUCUAGAAUAGGCAGCUUCACAAUAACUUUGAAGCCCGGCUUUAAUAGCUGAUAAAAUAGAUGUUAAUAAUUUAGAAAGAGGUUUCGUGGAGCACUUGGAAGACCCAGCAAUAUACCGUUGUUUUUAAGAACACUUAUGAAGUUUAGGUAAAAUUGAGAAUGGAAAUGGGGAAUGUGUCAAAGAGACAACAACCAGGUAUCCAGGUAUUGCUGUUUUUAUUUUACCCCCUGUAGGUUGCACUUUGUUAUUACAGCUGUAUCUCGAACCACGUCCUUUUUGGGAGAUAUAUAAUAUUCAUAGAUAAUUAACUCUAUUUACGUACUGGUUCCCAGAUAUGAUCUCUAUAUUUCAUAUCGUAGAGACAUUACUUAGAAAUGUUACCAGAAAAUAUGGAUAUGCAUUUUGGUCUAAUUGAAAUCUAUGGGAACCCUAAAGUCAAGGUUGUGGUAGUACAGAAUUUUAGUGUAAGUUCGGGGCAAAAAAUGUUGACAAUAUGCCGCACAGCCCUAAAUUUUGACCUUUUAAAAAAUAGUAGUGCAUAUAAAUUUUCCAUUCUAGAAUGGAAUUUUUUUCAAAACGUCAUUGUAAAAGUGGCACAACUUAGCCGUAAAAGGAGUUGCAUGGUAGAUAUUUACAGAAAUGCAACCUGUAAGAUAAUAAAUUAGCUACAAGAUUCAAAUAAUCUAAAGCUGCAGAAUUAUUUCUUAAAUAAAUAUAAAUAUAUAUAGAAUUUCAUCACACUGGUUUUUACAAAGAGAAAAACGCAUGAUUUAUUUAACUUUCUAUAAAACAACCAGUAUAGAGUGUCCAAACCAUAUUAUAUUUCUAGGUUACUAUUGUGAGUCAAAUCGAAGACUCAAAAGACAUAAGAUCUUUUACCAGACCUCCAUGAUACAUUGUCUUCUGCAUGUUAGUUAGGAAAACCUUAAACACUGUCAUAUCAGGGUUAUAGGACAUAUGCAAAGCAAAGGACACCAAUUAGCUUGAUAACAACAAAGCUAAUUGAAUUUAUAUUGCAUUAUAAAGUCUUCUGUUUUGUUUAUCGAUUUAUCAGUCUUGGAAUCUGUCAUAUUUGAACAAAAUUGGAACAAAAUAGUUACUUUAGAUUCAAAUGGGAAACAUCAUUUGUAUGAUCAUACUAGCUUUUCACUUUUUAUACGACCGUAUAUUGGUAUCACGUUGGCGUCGUCGUCGUCGUCCGAAGACAUUUGGUUUUCGCACUAUAACUUUAGUAUAAGUUAAUAGAAAUCUAUGAAAUUUUGACACACGGUUCAUGACUACAAAAGGAAGGUUGGGAUUGAUUUUGGGAGUUUUAAGUUCCAACAGUUUAGGAAUAAGGGGCAAAAAAAGGGCCAAAAUAAGCAUUAUUCUUGGUUUUCGCACCAUAACUUUAGUAUAAGUAAAUAAAAAUCUAUGAAAUUAAAACACAAGGUUCAUGACCAUAAAAGGAAAGUUGGGAUUGGUUUUGAGAGUGUUGGUCCCAACAGUUUAGGAAUAAGGGGCCCAAAGGGUCCAAAUGAAACUUUGUUUGAUUUCAUCAAAAAUUGAAUAAUUGGGGUUCUUUGAUAUGCCGAAUCUAACUGUGUAUGUAGAUUCUUAAUUUUUGGUCCCGUUUUCAAAUUGGUGCAGAUCUACAUUAAGGUCCAAAGGGUCCAAUAUUAAACUAAGUUUGAUUUUAACCAAAAUUGAAUUCUUGGGCUUCUUCUCUGAAUCUAAACAUGUACUUAGAUGUUUGAUUAUGGGCCCAGUUUUCAAGUUGGUCCAAAUUAGGAUCCAAAAUUAUUAUUUUAAGUAUUGUGCAAUAGCAAGAAAUUUUUAAUUGCACAGUAUUCAGCAAUAGCAAGAAAUCUUUAAUUGCACAGUAUUGUGCAAUAGCAAGAAAUAUUCAAUUGCAAAGUAUUGCGCAAAAGCAAGAACUCUUCAAUUGCACAGAAUGGUGCAAUAGCAAGUAUUUUCAAUUGCACAGUAUUGCGCAAUAGCAAGAAAUAUCUAAUUUCACAAUAUUUGGCAAUAGCAAGAAAUUUUCAAUUGGAGUUAUCUUUCUUUGUCCAGAAUAGUAGUUGAAUCAACUUAAAUCAUUGUUUUAUACAAUAUACAAUUCAAUGUAUAUUAACUUUUACUACCAACUGAUAAAUUAAAACAAUCUUUACCAUUCAUUGAUAACAAGCACUUGUUAAUAUUUUAUGAUGUAUUUAAAUGAGUAGUUAUUGUUGCAAACUCCAUUAGAAAUUUGAAUUGAGAUCAGUUUUGGAAUAAGGGAAAGAGGGAUGUGAAUAAAAAUUGGGGGGGGGUCAAUUGUUCUCAUUUCAGAUUUCAUGAAUAAAAAGAAAAUUUCUUCAAACAUUUUUUUGAAAGGAUUAAUAUUCAACAGCAUAAUGAAUUGCUCAAAGGCAAAAAAAAAAAUUUAAGUUCAUUAGACCACAUUCAUUCUGUGUCAGAAACCUAUGUUGUGUCAACUAUUUAAUCACAAUCCUAGUUUAGAGCUGAAUCCAGCUUGAAUGUUGUGUCUAUACUUGCCCCAACCGUUCAGGGUUUAAACUUUGCGGUCGUAUAAAACUGCACCCUGCGGAGCAUCUGGUUCAUCUUGAUAACCUUGCCAUAUAAGGUAUUGUCACCCAAGUAAUCUGUUAUUAAGGACAUAGAAAAAUAGUUCAUAUUGUAUUUCAACCUCCCCCCGAAUAGUGAAUCCGGGGUCAAAAUACCCUAUGGUAAAUUAACCCAGGGGUCAUUCUAUCGCAUGGUAUUUUGACCCUUGGGUAAUUUUUCCCAUGUGGUAUUUUAACCCCCACCAUGGAAAAUUGAACCCUCCUGUUUUAGAUAAAUCGUAUUGCAGAUUAUCAAAUGUACAAUAUGUUGGCUUAUAAAAAAGAAGAUAUAUGAUUGCCAAUGAGACAACUCUCGACAAUAGACCAAAAUGACACAAUAUUAAAUUUUUUUUUUCAAAUGAUAUGACAAUAGUAGGUGGUAACAUAUACCAUGGCAGGGGGUAAAAAUACAAUGGAUAAGUAAAAUCUUUAAAAAAUCUGUUCCAGCUUGUUAAAUACAUAAAAAAAUAUUUAUUGUUAGUAUUUUAACUAUGUCAGAGAGUUAAAAUAGCUAGAUUUUUUUGUAAAUUUGAGGUCUAUAGUAGGGGUUCAAUAUACUAUGGCAUACAUUGUAUGUAUUUAACAUGCUGGAAAAGAUGUUUUGAAAAUGUUGUUUAGCCAUGGUUUUUUUACCCUCCCCCCCCCCCCAAACACACACCCCACCCCCAACUUGGUAGGUAUACGGACCCCCCCCCCCCUUUUGACCUUCAAUUUAUAAAUAUCUAGCUAUUCCAACUUCUUUACACAGUAAUAAUAUGCCUAUUAGUAGUUUGUAUACAUUUAAUAUGCUGGUAAAGAUGUUUUGAAUUUUUUCCUCAGCAAUGGUAUUUUGGCUCCCCCCCCCCCUUUUUCACCUUCAAUUUAAAAAUUCUAGCUAUUAUACCUCCUUUAUAAAGUUAUAAUACUCUGGAAAAUAUGUGUUGAAAACUUUACUUAACCAUGGUAUUUUGAUCCCCCUCCCAACCCUGCCAUAGUAUUGAUGCAUGAAUCCCCCACUCUACACCUCAAAUUUCCAAAAUUAUAUAUAUUCAAACUAUUUUUCAUAAUUUUAAUUAUGUAAGUAUUCGAUAUAUAUGAAACUUGAAGGAAAAUGAUUUAUAAAACUUUUUCUUAUAUAUAAUAUUUCGACAACCUCCCCUUUUUCCUCCCACCCCCACCCCUUGUCUAAACACAUCCAAUUUAAAAAAUUCCAUACAUAUGUUGCAACUUGUUAAAUACAUACAAACUCCAUAAUGGAGGAUUAUAACUAUGUCAGAGAGUUAAAAUAGCCAGAAUUUUUUUAAUUAAAGGUCUAUAGUAGGGGGUUCAAUAUACUAUGGCAUACAUUGUAUGUAUUCCAGAUGCUGGAAAAGAUAUAUUGAAAAUCUUGUUUAGUCAUGGUCUUUUGACUUGACAACCCCAUCCCCCCCCCCCUUUCCCCGUUAUUUUUAUGUACCCCCUUUUGACCUUCAAUUUAAAAAAUCUAGCUAUUCCAACUUCUUUACACAGUAAUAAUAUGCCGAUUAGUAGUUUGUAUCCAUUAACAUGGUGGAAAAGAUGUUUUGAAAUUUUUUCCUCAGCAAUGGUAUUUUGACCCCCCUGCCAUGGUAUAUUGACUCCACUCUUUUCACCUUCAAUUAAAAAACUCAAGCUAUUCUAACUCCUUUAUAUAGUUAUAAUACUCUACAAAGUAGUUUGUAUGUAUUUAACAUGCUGGAAAAUAUGUGUUGAAAACUUUACUUAGCCAUGGUAUUUAGAUCCUUCUCCCAUCCCUGCCGUAGGAUUGAUGCAUGAACUCCCCACUCUACACCUCAAAUUUCCAAAAUUAUAUAUAUUCAAACUACUUUUCAUAAUUAUAAUGAUGUAAGUAUUCGGUUUAUAUGAAACGUGAUGGAAAAGAAUUUUUAAAACUUUUUCUUAGAUAUAAUAUUUCGACCCCCCUUUUUUUCCCCCACCCCCACCCCUUGUCUAUUAUACACAUCCACUUUCAAAAUCAAAUCAUUUAAAAAAAAAAAUCAAAGUUUUAAUACCCUUAUUUAUAUAUGGUACAUAUAUGAUAAAGAUGUUAAAUUUAACAAUUUUACUGAGCCAUGGUAAAUUGAACCCCCUCAUUUUUUACCAAGGGAAAUUUUACUCUCUUUGCAUGUUAGGAUUUCAAAUAAUCAAAGAAUUCAAUGUACAUGAUCUAGUGAUAAUGUUUCAAUAAGUAUUUUGAAUUAAACUGAAGUUGGUAAAACUUCACCAUGUUCAAGGCAUGGUAUUUUUUCCGACUGUGGUUUUCAAUCUAUAAUGAGCUUAUAGUAUAAUGUAUUAUGUUCUACUAAUUAUCUAGAAUUAAAAAAAAACUUAGGGAUUUAAUUAACCAUUGGGGCAAUUUUCCAUACAUGGGGGAGGGGCAAGCAUUUUACCAUAGCAGUAUUUUGACCCCGGUGUCAAUUUUCCAUGGGGAUUAAAAUACCAUAUGACACUGGUCUUUCUGACUGUCUGUUUGUAAGCACGCAUGUGUACAGUUCUUCCCAGAUAUUUUUUAUGUCAAAAGUUUAAUAUCAGCGACUUCUCGACCAAAUUUGAAAAUCAAGUUUGGAUCAACUAUUUCGAAAAGAGUUGUUCCCCCUAGAAAUUUUAGUUGCAUAAAAAUUGUUCCGUAGAAAUGAAAAUUCAAUAGAAAAUAUGUUGUAGGUAAAGCAUGCGUGAGUGAACAAAUCUUUGUAGAUAUUUAUGAAAUCUAUAUCACAGGUUUAUAUCGACUAGUUAGAAAAUCAGUACUCAUUUAAUCCUGUUUUAAGCACUCUCACACGAUUAAUAUUUAUGUUUAUAUCAAAGACUUGUAUAUCAGUUAAGUCUUCAUAUGAGUCAAUUCAUGUGGACAUAGAUAAUUAAGGUUUUUAGCUCACCUGGCCUGAAGGGCCAAGUGAGCUUUUCUCAUCACUUGGCGUCCGGCGUCCGGCGUCGUUAACUUUUACAAAAAUCUUCUCCUCUGAAACUACUUGGCCAAAUUUAACAAAACAUGGCCAAAAUCAUUAUUAGGGUAUUUAGUUUAAAAAUUGUGUCCGGUGACCCGCCCAACCAACCAAGAUGGCCGCCAUGGCUAAAAAUAGAACAAAGGGGUAAAAUGCAGUUUUUGCCUUAUAACUCAAAAACCAAAGCAUUUAGAGCAAAUGGGGUAAAAUUGUUUAUCAGGUCAAGAUCUAUCUGCCCUGAAAUUUUGAGAUGAAUCGGACAACCCGUUGAUAGGUUGCUGCCUCUGAAUUGGUAAUUUUAAGGAAAUUUUGCUGUUUUUAAACGACGGCAAAAAUUUUAAUUUUUCGUCGUAUAUUGCUAUCACGUUGGCGUCGUCGUCGUCCGAAUACUUUUAGUUUUCGCACUCUAACUUUAGUAAAAGUUAAUAGAAAUCUAUGAAAUUUCAACACAAGUUUUAUGACCACAAAAGAAAGGUUGGGAUUGGUUUUGGGAGUUUUGGUCCCAACAUUUUAGGAAUUAGGGGCCAAAAAGGGCCCAAAUAAGCAUUUUCUUGGUUUUUGCACUAUAACUUUAGUUUAAGUAAAUAGAAAUUUAUGAAAUUUUGACACAAGGUUUAUGACCACAAAAGGAAGGUUGGUAUUGAUUUUGGGAGUUUUUGUUCCAACAGUUUAGGAAUAAGGGGCCAAAAAAGGGCCCACAUAAGCAUUUUUCUUGGUUUUUGCACCAUAACUUUAGUAUAAGUAAAUAGAAAUCUAUGAAAUUUAAACACAAGGUUUAUGACCAUAAAAGGAAGGUUGGGAUUGAUUUUGGGAGUUUUGGUCCCAACAGUUUAGGAAUAAGGGGCCCAAAGGGUCCAAAAUUAAACUUUGUUUGAUUUCAUCAAAAAUUGAAUAAUUGGGGUUCUUUAAUAUGCCAAAUCUAACUGUGUAUGUAGAUUCUAAAUUUUUGGUCCCGUUUUCAAAUUGGUCUACAUUAAGGUCCAAAGGGUCCAAAAUUAAACUUUGUUUGAUUUUGACAAAAAUUGAAUCCUUGGGGUUCUUUGAUAUGCUGAAUCUAAACAUGUACUUAGGUGUUUGAUUAUGGGCCCAGUUUUCAAGUUGGUCCAAAUCAGGAUCCAAAAUUAUUAUAUUAAGUAUUGUGCAAUAGCAAGAAAUUUUCAAUUGCAGAGUAUUCAGCAACAGCAAGAAAUCUUCAAUUGCACAGUAUUGUGCAAUAGCAAAUAUUUUCAAUUGCACAGAAUUGCGCAAUAGCAAGAAAUAUCUUAUUGCACAAUAUUGUGCAAUAGCAAGAAAUUUUCUAUUGAUUGGAGUUAUCUUUCUUUGUCCAGAAUAGUAGUUGAAUCAACUUAAAUCAUUGUUUUAUACAAUAUACAAUGUAUAUUCACUUUUACUACCAACUGAUAAAUUAAAACAAUCUUUACCAUUCAGUGAUAACAAGCACUUUUUUUACAUUUUAAUAUUUUAUGAUAAAAAUUUAACAAAAUCACUUUCGAGCUUUUCUUUAAUAAUAUUAACAGGUUCACCGUCUAACUGGCUGAAAUAACUUUCUAGAUCAUUUAGAUAUAUGGAAAAAAGAAACGGUGAUAAAUUUUCCCCCUGCCUUACACCAGUAAGACAAGGGAAAAAUUCAGACUGGUCACCGUUAUACUGAACGCAAGAUUUAAUAUCAUGGUACAUGUUAAAGAUAACCUUAAAACAUUUAUCUUUAAUCUCACAAUUUUGUAAUUUUAUUCCAUAGCCCCGAUCGUCAGACGGUGUCAAACGCCUUCCGAAAGUCGACGAAAGUACAAUAAAGCUUCUUGCCAAACGAAAAAUAUAACUCAAUUAGAGUAUGCAAUACAAAAAUGUUGUCAACUGUUGAAUAUCCUUUCCUGAAACCAGCUUGGUUUUCGGAAAUGAGACUCAAUUCGUUAGCAAAAAUAUUUAAUCUAGAAUUUAUAACAGACGUAAAUAAUUUCCCUAGGCAACUGAUAAGUCUGAUUGCCCUGAAAUUGAUCAUCAGGGUCAGACGGGUUACCUUUGUUCUUAAAAACAGGUUUUAUAAUUCCACUGGUCCAGCUUUCUGGAAUAAUACCAGUAUCUAAGACUAAAUUAAAAAGCUCACAAUAUAUAGAAAGUAACAAUGGAGUUGAAUAUUUCAAAUAUUCAUUAAAAAUUUUAUCUGUACCUGGAGCUUUGUUAUUUUUCAGGUCCUUUAUUGCAUCAGAUAUUUCUAAUUCUGUUAUUUUUCCAUUUAAUAACUCAUCAUAUACAGGAUUUUCACAAAUGCUAUCAAUAUUCAAACUAAAAUCUCCCUCAUCAUCUUUACUUGCAUUUAAAUUUUUAAAAUAUUCAAAAAAAGUGUCAAUCUCUACCUGUGGGUUAUCUUUUCUUUUACUUGAAAAUUUGUGAAGUGUAUUCCAAAAUGCUUUUGUGUUUGUUUUUGAUAAUGAUCGAAGCUCGUUUGCACAAUGUUCUUGGUAUUUUUUAUAACUCUUGUUAAGGAGUUGUCUGUAUUCUUUAGCCUUCAUAUUCAUCAGUGUUUUGUUAUCAGCAGUCUUAAUUUUUUUGUAUUUCCUUCUUCCUCUGUGGAACUCAUCACGCAUAAUCUUGCAGUCUUUUUUAAACCAUGGUUUGUUUUGAGUUGAUCUUUGACGCUGUUUACCUGCUGGUCCAAAUGCAGUUAAAGCCGUAUCUAAGAGUAUCUGUCGUAAGUGUAAUAACUGAAAACUAGAGGGUCCAAGGACCCUGUGUCGCUCACCUGAUAUUUUUAUUUACAAUUGAAGCAUGAUAAAUGCAACUGUUGUACUGUCGUUUAGUUUCAGAGAUAUAAUACUAAAAAGUGCAUUUGAUUUCAGUCAUGUGGGCAGGCAGAGUCAUCAUACACAGUGGUCCCUGGAUAUCCUAGUGGUGAUUUAAACCAAGUUUGUUUAAAUUUGACUAUUUAAUUUCAGGGGAGAAUUUUGUAAAAUUUAUCUAACGAGAAAUGCAAAGUAAUGAGAAAGUUGUGAAGUUGUUUUGUUGUUGCGCAUCCCCCCCCCCCCCCCCCGCUCCCCCUUUGCCAAAAAAAACAAAAAGGUAAGAAAACAUUAUCAUAUAAGGGCAAUCUAUCCUAUUAAUGAUUUCUGCAAAAUUCAGUUGAUUGUGCAAGGGUUGUAUAGUCAGCUGAGGUCGUUAAAAACUCUCUUUUGUUGUUGCAGAUAGAUCUUGACCUGAUAAUCAAUUUUACCACAUGUCAGAUUUGCUCUAAAUGCUUUGGUUUUUGAGUGAUAAGCCAAAAACUGCAUUUUACCCCUAUGUUCUAUUUUUAGCCAUGGCGGCCAUCUUGGUUGGCUGGCCAGGUCACCGGACACAAUUUUUAAAUUAGAUACCCGAAUGAUGAUUGUGUCCAAGUUUGGUUUAAUUUGGCCCAUUGGUUUUAGAGAAGAAGAUUUUUGUAAAAGAUAACUAAGAUUUACGAAAAAUGGUUAAAAAUUGACUAUAAAGGGCAAUAACUCCUAAAGGGGUCAACAGACCAUUUUGGUCAUGUUGACUUAUUUGUAGAUCCUACUUUGCUGAACAUUUUUGCUGUUUACAGUUUAUCUCUAUCUAUAAUAAUAUUCAAGAUAAAAACCAACCAGAUGCUCCGCAUGGCGCAGCUUUAUACGACUUUAUGAAAGACAAAAAAAAUAUUUUAAGUUCAUUAGACCACAUUCAUCCUUUGUCCAAAACCUAUACUGUGUCAACUAUUUAAUCACAAUCCAAAUUUAGAGCUGAAUCCAGCUUGAAUGUUGUGUCCAUACUUGCCCCAACCGUUCAGGGUUCAACCUAUGCGGUCGUAUAAAGCUGCGCCCUGCGGAGCAUCUGGUUCAAUCAUAUUGUGAUACAUGGAAACUACAGGUUAAUGUUAAUAAAACUAAAGUAAUGAUUUUUUGUAAAAGAAAAACGAGACAGAAUUUUACUUUUACUUUGCAGGAUUGUAACCUUGAAAUUGUUUAUACAUAUUCAUACCUAGGUGUUAUUUUCAAAUAUAAUGGAAAGUUUAUUAACACAAGGAAGAAACAUGUUGAGCAAACACAAAAGACGUUAUAUUGCAUUUACAAACUAUUUCGAAAUGCAUCAAUACCUAUAGAUAUACAAUUAAAAAUGUUUGAUUCUAUGAUUGAACCAAUUUUAUUGUACGGUUCAGAAGUGUGGGGUUUUGAAAACCUAAAAAUUAUUGAACAAAUCCGCUUGAAAUUCUGUAAGAGAAUUUUGAAAGUUCGAAAUUCAACUGCAUCAUUAUGUGUACUAUUAUUUUUCUGUUUGUCUUUUUCAUUUUUAGCCAUGGCGUUGUCAGUUUGUUUUAGACUUAUGAGUUUGACUGUCCCUUUGGUAUCUUUCGUCCCUCUUUUAUGGUUUAUGGAGAACUUGGGAGGUUUCCACUCGAAAUUCGGGUCAAAUUGAGUUUGAUUUCUUUUUGGAGUAAAUUAGUAUUAAAUGACAAUAAACUUGGCAGUACUUUAUACAAGUUGAUGCUAUGUUUAAAAAGCAAUCAUGGAGUGAAUUUCAAGUGGAUAAACCACUUAGAAUCUAUAUUUAAUGAGUUAGGCAUGAGCUUUAUUUUUUUAAACCAGUUUGCUGUUUACGAAAAGGUUUUAGUAAAACAAAUUUUGUGUGACCAGUUCAUACAAAAAUGGUACAGUGAUUUGCACACCACUUCGCGUGGACAAUUUUAUUCACUGUCCAAAAAGAGUUUUGAAAUAGAAAGAUAUCUUAUUAAUUUACCAGAGUCAUUUAUAAUUUGGAUUUCAAAACUAAGAACUGCAAACUUACGAUUGCCAAUAGAAACUGGUAGAUGGUACAAUAUACCAAAAUCAGAAAGAAAAUGUAAUUUAUGCAAAGAAGAUAUUGGUGAUGAAUAUCGUGUAUUAUUUAUUUGUAAAAAUGCACAGAUAGUAGAUUUGAGAAACAGAUAUUUACCACAAUAUUAUAGAAAUAAUCCAAACAUUGUAAAAAUGGAAGGUCUUUUGUCACUUUGCAAUAUUGAAUUAUAUAAGAAAUUGUCAAUGUUUAUCAGAAAACUGUCUUCUCUUCUUUAGAUUUUGUUUGUAAUAAUUUGUUAAUCACUUGUUCAUUUCUGUCAUAUUUAAUGUAUAUAUAUGUUAUCAAUAAUAUCCUCUUGUAACACAUUGUAAAUGUGUCUGAGUGUUUUCCUAAAAAAUCUUGAAAUCUUGACAGAUAAAAUAAAACACAGGGCUCACUGGAACACUGUUCUUUUAUUUAUAAGAAAUUUUUUAGAGUGUCCAGUAUGAUGCCAUAAAAUGUCAAUAAUUUUUUUUUUAUGUAAAUUCCAAUGACAGUUGUAAUGGUACGCCUCUUUACCAGACGAAUUAUUAUAUUCCUUUGUCCUUCCGUACGUAUAUACGCCCUAAAGUUGGUUUCCGUUCUUUAACUUAAGUUUGCAUCAACAAAAUGUUAUAAAAGUUAUAUAUAAUGCUUAUUUCCACAAAAGACAUCUAUCAAGUUUGAGUUUUGGUUGCUGAAUAUUUGGUUUCCUGUCUCUUACUUACGUUAGCCUCAACCAAAUGUAAUGAAACUUAUAUAUAUAUGGAAGUUUUUAACGACCUUGACUGGCUAUACAGCCCUUGCACGGUCGGUAAAUGAAACUUAUACACAAUGCUUAUAACCACAAGAUACAGAUUAUAUUUGAAUUUGGGGAUGUCACUUUUAUUGUUGUAGAUUUAUGAUCCUUAACAAAGCGGGGAUAUCAUAUGUGUCACAUUGACACAUUUCCCAUUUAUUUUAAUCAUUUAUUCUUAGAAAAACUUUUAUAAUGUUUUAUUUGAAAUAGAAUGAACAAUUUACCAAGAUGCAAGUAAAUUGUAAUAUCGUUAUUUGGUUUUGUUUUCUUUCUUUUUACUGCUUUUAAAAAGAAUAGUAACAAAUAUGCAGAUGACCACUGUGUCAUUAUUACCUGGAGUAAGCAUUGGUUGGAAGAGUCUUUGCAAGAAAGGUGAAAUAGCUGGCUAAUUAAAAGUUAUUUCAUUAAUUAGAUAUAAGAAGAUGUGGUUUGAGUACCAAUCACUUAUAAUGAUAUCACAUCAUUCUUCUUCAUCUGCUGCGACUUUAUCUAGAUAAACAUAUGUCAAAAUUGUUUUAAUUGCAUUUACUGUUUACUAUGAAAGGACCUUUAUCCUUUUAUAAUGAAAACCGGUAGGUAGCAAUAUAUAUUUGAAUUCAGUUUGAAUCUGUUUCAGGAUGGUUGUUUGUACAUAUUUGGAGGUGUAACACGUAUUGACGAUAUCAGAACGAACUGUGUACAAAGAAUCUGGUUAAUAUUGCCCACUCUCCAAGAGCUGUGUUGGGAGAAUAUGUGUUUAACAUUAGAUAUGAAUAGACUACAAAAACACAGAAGUAAAUUAUUUGAAAUUGGAGUUCCUAUACACUUCAUAGAACGCCUGUGAUAUUUUACCCGUAAAUUGUGAAAAUAUUUUAAAUAACAUACAUGUUUGAAGGAUAUGCGUUGAACCAUUGCACAUUGUUCAAUAAUUAAAUAGGUAUGAGUAAAAUUGUAAGUUUAUUGUCCUUUGAUCUAUAUUGCCCUGAGGCGUAGCUGAGGACAGUAGUUGUAUUUGAGGGGACAAUAAACUUACUAAUCCACAAAUAUCCAGUAAGUAAGUUUUUUAUUCAAUCGAAAUGACAAUAGACAAUAAAUCAUUGGGAUAGAAUAAAUCGACUAUCGACAUAUGAAAAGCAGAAACCCAACCAUUCCAUUUAACGUUUAAUCCCGUAGCUGAAUUUGAAAUUCUGCAAAAAAUGAAUGACUAUUACGGUCAUAUAGUAUUAUCGAGGUACAAUGGAUGGAAACUCUUGACCGGUUCACUAACUUUAGUUUGCCUCAAUCAAAUGUUAUGAAACUUAUACACGAUGCUUAUUACAACAAAAUACAGAUGAAGUUUGAAUUUUGUUGGUGUUACUGAUAGUGUUCUACAGUUAUGUCCCUUUACAAAUGUAAAAAUGUCUGAAUUUUUCGUUUCCGUUCUCUAACUUAAGUUUGCUUCAACCAAAUUUUAUGAAAAAGUACACAAUGAUCAUAACCACAAAAUACAGAUUGAUUUGAAUUUUUGUGUACAUCUUUAACUGUUCUAGAUUUAUGCCAAUUUUCAAAACAAGCAUUUAUCUAGUUUCAAGACAAUAAGUUGUGUAUAAGUAUUUCAAUUGCUCUGAAAUUGUACCACGAUGUCUAAACCCAUAAAUUGAAGGUUGGGAUUUAUUUUAUGGGUUAUGGGGCAAACAGUCUAGGUAUUAAGGAGGCUCGAGGGUAUAAAAAUUUCAGAAAAAAAUGAAACAUUUGUUUUUCAUUACAAAUUUUAUUUAUUUCCUUUUGUAGUUGUUACUUUAUCAUAUGGUACACAAAUCAUUCAAAACAAUCAAUGCGUGUUGGCCCCAGAUGACUUUUAAAAUGUAUACAUCAUUAAAAAAGUUCCAAAUUAUCUCCCUUUGGUGGAAAAAUGCCAGUUUUUGGCUUUAAAAUUGAAAUAUCUUUUUCAUCUCAUCGGUGACCUAUCUUUUUUAAUAUAAUUUCCAUAUAAGCUGUACUUAAACUAAAUUUCUGUAAAAUUUGAGCGAUUUCUGUAAUAAAUAUCUUUUUUUAUUUCGAUAUUACCUUUAUUUCUCCUAUUACUUCAACAGACAAAAAACACCUUUACAAAAAUGUAUGCUUCUUUCGAAGGCAGAUUGUGAGCGCAAAUGAACGGUGACCCCACUUUUUUAUUCUACUUUUCUAUUAACUAUAAGAUAAAGUUAAUUUAUAGAAAAAUAUAGAGAAAUCCUAUAUAAAUGAUUUAGACCCGCAAACCCCCUUGGGCCAAAAAAAGGGGCCAAAAACAAGCAUUUUUCUAAUUUCAGGACAAUAACUUGUGUGUAACUGUAUGGGUUCUCUCUGACAUUGUAACACAAAGUUCCAUAUGCAAUUUGGAAGGCUUGGAUGGAGUUUGGGAUAAAUUUCCCUGAACAUGUAGAAAUAAGGGGCAAACAAAGGGCCAAAAAGAAGCAUUUUUCUUUUUUACAGACAAUAACUUGUGUUUCAGUUUAUGGAUCUCUCUGACAUUAUACUACAAGGUUUCUAACUACAAAGAAAAGGCUGGAAUUGAGUUUUGGGAUUCUUGCUCCAAUGCGGGUUUCAAUAAGUUGGGGUCCAAAAGAGGGGCCCCAAAUAAGCAUUUUUGUAGUUUCAAUAACUUGUGUUUAAGUGUAUAAAUCUCUCUGAAAUUAUGCCACAAGUUUCCAUAAUACAAAGGGACGGUUAUGAGGGGUUAUGGCUCAAAUCAUUUAGCAAAUAGGGGCAAAAAAGGGGGGAAAAUGAGGGGGUUUUUUUUGGUUAAAGGACAAUUUAGACAAUUUAAAAGCACUGUAAGAGAGGUAAUCAAAUUCCAUUUAAAGAAAACUGUUAUAUAUAUGUUUGAUAACCUCCCUUACACUGCUUGAAAAUUAUGUAUUGAACGAUGAUUGUUAAAAUAAAAAUUGUCUUGAGAUGAUAAGCUGUAAUUUAUUUUUCAGAAGUUACUAUUAAUUAAUAUUAAUUUUAACCAUGACUGUAUGACAUUUUAUAUUUUAAUAUUUUAUGAUGUAUUUAAAUGAGAACUUUUUGUUGCAAACUCCAUUAGAAAUUUGUAUUGCGAUAAUUUUUGAAAUAUUGGAAAGCGGGAGUUAAUUAAUUUCAUUUCAGAUUUCAGAAAUUAAAAAGAAAAUUUCUUCAAAUGUUUUUUUUUUUAGGGGAUCAAUAUUCAACAGCAUAGUGAAUUGCUCAAAAGCCAAAAAAUAUUUUUAAGUUCAUUAGCCCACAUUCAUUCUGUGUCAGAAACCUAUGAUGUGUCAACAAUUUAAUCACAAUCCAAAUUCAGAGCUGUAUCCAGCUUGUAUGUUGUGUCCAUACUUCCCCAACUGUUCAGGGUUCGACUUCUACGUUCGUAUAAAGCUGCGCCCUGCGAAGCAUCUGGGUUUUUUUUUUUAUAGGAAAGAAGAAUGCUUCUGCUACAUGAAUAUGGGCUGUUUUUGACAAUACAAUGGACAUAUAUCGGGUACUAGCAUCAUUAAGUCAUGCUAAAUUACUGCAAUUUUCACAAUUUUAGCAUUUUAGUUAAAUUUUUGAUGGUUUUCGUCUGAAAUGAAAGUGGUCGCAUUUGUGUUCAUUCUUAAUAUUGAAAUGUAAGCUGUAUUUGAUAUACAUAACAUAUAUAAAGGUUGAGGAUGAACACGGAUGCGGCCACUUUCAUUAUUGACAAAAAUCAUCUCAAAAGUGACAUUUUUUGGCAUAUUUGAUAGAUUUUUCAUAUUUAAGCUUGAAUCGGAGCGUUUUUAAUGACUAAAUCAGUUUAAAAUCUUUCACAUAUACUAAUUGAAUCAACUGAAACAGACACUUAAGUGUUUAAAAAGUGUCCAAAAUCUUUCGUCAGAUGAACCUGAUAUUUGAGGCCAAAAUCAGCCCUUACUGGACUUACUCCUUUUAUGAAACUUGUACACAAUGUUUUUACCACAAAAUACAGAUAUUUAAUUACAUGAAUAUUCAGAUUUUGUAAAGGUUUUAGUGCAUAUAUGUCAUAAUGUAGUCUGUUUUAUAUUUCUAGAGUGUCAUUAUAUUUUUAAUUCAAUUAGAAUGGAUGAAAUACAUAUUCUGUACUAUAAUAUCUAGUCUUUUAUCAACAGGAUUUGCCAUAACUAACUAACCCAUACUUUGAGUUAAGGUUAUAUUUCUGUAGGAUUAUAUUUGUUAGUCCAGAGAGACUUUUAUUAUGAAAUUAUUCGAUGAAUCUUGUAAAAAAUGUAUAUUGUAACAUCAUAUUGAAAUUCAGUAAAGUGCAAAUUUACAGGAUUAAAUGGUUAGGUUUGUUAAGUGCAAAAAUGUCAUGUGUUUUAUCUAUUCUUUAAAUUCAUUGCUGAACCGAACUCCACAAAUUACAUUGUAUAGUCACAACAGUCUCACAGAUAUCAGAGACAUGUCUCUGCAUGUUUUACUAUUAAUGGUGCCAUUCAUGGUCUUUCAGAAAUGUUAGAACAUAACUUGAACCCAAGGUAUAUACUGACAAUUUUUUGCUGAACCACAGAAAUAUUUUUUACAGAGCUUUUAAAAACACUUUUCCAAUUGGAUACAUGAAUUUAUUUCGAAAUGCCUCCCUUUGCCCUACAUUUGCUCAAAUUUGACUUUAUUGGUAUUAAGUUUACAAACAAAAUGCACCAGUUUUUGGUUUUAAUGUUUUACUCCACAAAAAAACAUAACAUUGUUAAUAAUUAGCACAUAGAUUUCCACUUAAACAGUGCAAGUGUAUUUUAUAACUUUAAAAUCGUUUAGUGAUAUAUCUAUGCAACAUCCUUUUUUGUCUUCCAAACCACAGUACACACCAUUGGUAUAUGCUGUUUAUUUUGUGAUUUAAGAUUAUAUUAGUUUUUAUUAUAAUAUUGUGAAUAAACGUUCCUAAAUUUAGUUUCUUUGUAUAUACAGAGAUAUGUGUUUGUAUGUUUUCCCUUUAUUUUAUUUUAAUUUUGUUUUAUUUUAAAAAGUCUGAUUACAGUUUGAAUUCAUUGUGAAAAGGAGAUAUUUAUGAUAAUAAAGUGAGUGCAAUGAAACCUUUAAAAAAAAAGCUUUGUUUUAAUAAACACAAGUUUAAAUAAUUAGAAAUCUUCCCUAUGUCCUGAAACAAAAUGUUUCUGGACUAUACCCGAAUUGUUAAUAUAUUAUUUGACUAUGUAAUGUUCCGUUAAUACACAUGUUUGGACUAUACAGGAUAUGGCUUAUACGAUUC
rnacentral:lncRNA from 1 species